rnacentral:rRNA from 1 species
CCUACGGGAGGCAGCAGUGAGGGAUAUUGGGCAAUGGGGGAAACCCUGACCCAGCAACGCCGCGUGAGGGAAGAAGGUCUUCGGAUUGUAAACCUAAGUAGUCAGGGACGAAGAAAUGACGGUACCUGAAGAGUAAGCUCCGGCUAACUACGUGCCAGCAGCCGCGGUAAUACGUAGGGAGCGAGCGUUGUCCGGAUUUACUGGGUGUAAAGGGUGCGUAGGCGGGCUGUCAAGUCAGAUGUGAAAUACCGGGGCUCAACUCCGGGGCUGCAUUUGAAACUGAUGGUCUUGAGUGAAGUAGAGGCAGGCGGAAUUCCUAGUGUAGCGGUGAAAUGCGUAGAUAUUAGGAGGAACACCAGUGGCGAAGGCGGCCUGCUGGGCUUUAACUGACGCUGAGGCACGAAAGCAUGGGGAGCAAACAGGA